GACAAUUUCAGAAACGCCAAUACGCGUGG
rnacentral:sRNA from 1 species